rnacentral:rRNA from 1 species
GAUGAAUGCUGGCGGCGUGCCUAACACAUGCAAGUCGAGCGGCAGCGCGAGUAGUUUACUACUUGGCGGCGAGCGGCGGACGGCUGAGUAACGCGUGGGAACAUGCCCCAAAGUGAGGAAUAACUGCCCGAAAGGGUAGCUAAUGCCGCAUAUGGUCUUCGGAUUAAAGGAUUUAUCCGCUUUGGGAGUGGCCUGCGCACGAUUAGAUAGUUGGUGAGGUAAUGGCUCACCAAGUCGACGAUCGUUAGCUGGUCUGAGAGGAUGAUCAGCCAGACUGGAACUGAGACACGGUCCAGACUCCUACGGGAGGCAGCAGUGAGGAAUCUUCCACAAUGGGCGAAAGCCUGAUGGAGCAACGCCGCGUGAAGGAUGAAGGCCUUCGGGUCGUAAACUGCUUUUAUGAGUGAAGAAUAUGACGGUAACUCAUGAAUAAGCACCGGCUAACUACGUGCCAGCCGCCGCGGUAA